UGCACAGGAUCCAACUUCUUUCCAGGAAAGAUUACGGUGUCUUUAGGGAAGGCUCCAUCAGCACACAGGACGGAGCCAACAGCGACGGUUUCCAGACCUGCCGAGCCUGAUGACUCCUCUGGGAUUGUUGCUUCUGUGAAAGCCAGGCUGAAGGCCCCGCUGCCAGCCCCUUCUACCUCCUCAGCUCAGAUGAUAUGUGGACUUCAGCAUGUGGAGCCAGGCUGUCGUCAUGUUGUGUUAAAUUGUGACAAGCACAGGGUACAGCCCAACAUCCCAGCUGC